GUAAGUGAGUUCUCAUGAGAUCUGGUUGUUUAAAAGCGUGGCACUUCCCCCUUCGCUGGCUCCUGCUUUGCCAUGUUAAGACGUGCUUGCUUCCCUUUCGCCUUCUGCUGUAAUUGUAAGUUUCCUGACGCCUCCCGGUCAUGCUUCCUGUUAAACUGUGGAACUGUCUUGUUUCAGUGAGAAUGUAAAGUACGUGAGCUAUGUGCUUUGUGAUGAAGUCGUUGAUUUAUUUCACUUUGGAACAAGCACACCACAACAAAGUGAGAAUGAGAAGGUAAUUCAGAGGGAGAAGAAGGAAACGGAACUGUACGUAGAAAUAUAUCCUCAUAUGAACUUAGAUUCUGAAAUAAAUCUAGGUUGUAAAAACACCAAAAGGCUGUUUCCAUGAGUGAGUCAACCAAGAGGCCCUCUCAGGACUUCUGUGGGACGUUGGAAUCCCCUGGCAUAUAUGAAAUCCAAAUUAGUCAGGAUAGGUAAGAUUGUGCUGCGGUAACAAAGAAAACCUUUAUUUUCAAUGGCUUCAUGCUGAAGCAGCCUCGCUGUCGGGGGUGAAUACUGGAGGUUCGCCAUCUCAUGCUAGGGGAUGAGGAUGUGGGCACACAAGAAGUGAGUUUAAAAGUGGAGGCUUAAUAGUGAGAGAGAUUUAAUAGAGAGAAAGAGAAAAGCUCUCUCUCCUGCAGAGAGAGAGGGGCUCCCGACUGGGUCUUCCGGUCCCAUGGGGAAGCGCACAGGGUUUUAUAGACUGGCUUGAAGAGGCGGUGUCUGAUUUACAUAGGGCCCAAAGAUUGGUUGGACCAGGUGUGACAUUUACAUAGCACAGGAAGAAAGUGGCCACUCCACCCUAAUCUUUUAUUAUGCAAAUGGGUUUUCUCCCUGGCCGGCACCAUGUUGUCUGCUCCUUACUGUACACAUGGUUGAUAAAGAAAAGGGAAAAGGGAGCCUCCAUGUUGAACAUUCCUGGCCCCAGGUAGCCUUUUCCUAUUGGCACAGCUGCCGGAAUUCACCCGUGCAAGCUUCCAGCUUGCUUAUCUAUGUCUGCAGCUCGAAUUUACAGGCUGCUUUUUGUUAGAAAAGAAAUGGUUUGGGGGCUGUUUUUCAUUAAAAGGGAAACCUUACCAAGGACUUCCUUAUCCUCACUAUCUGCCUAAAUAAUUUCUUCUUAACUCUUAUAUCAAUAC
rnacentral:lncRNA from 10 species